rnacentral:rRNA from 1 species
AGGUAGUUGGAGGGGUAACGGCCCACCAAGCCUAUGAUCGGUAGCCGACCUGAGAGGGUGAUCGGCCACAUUGGAACUGAGAUAAGGUCCAAACUCCUACGGGAGGCAGCAGUGGGGAAUAUUGGGCAAUGGGGGAAACCCUGACCCAGCAACGCCGCGUGAAGGAAGAAGGUUUUCGGAUUGUAAACUUCUGUCCUUGGUGAAGAGAAGAAGACGGUAGCCAAGGAGGAAGCCCCGGCUAACUACGUGCCAGCAGCCGCGGUAAUACGUAGGGGGCAAGCGUUGUCCGGAAUGAUUGGGCGUAAAGGGCGCGUAGGCGGCUUUAUAAGUCUGGAGUGAAAGUCCUCUUUUCAAGGGAGGAAUUGCUUUGGAAACUAUAGAGCUUGAGUGCAGGAGAGGUUAUCGGAAUUCCCGGUGUAGCGGUGAAAUGCGUAGAUAUCGGGAGGAACAUCGGUGGCGAAGGCGGGUACCUGGACUGCAACUGACGCUGAGGCGCGAAAGUGUGGGGAGCAAACAGGAUUAGAUACCCUGGUAGUCCACACGGUAAACGAUGAAUGCUAGGUGUAGGAGGUAUCGACCCCUUCUGUGCCGCAGUUAACACAAUAAGCAUUCCGCCUGGGGAGUACGGUCGCAAGAUUAAAACUCAAAGGAAUCGACGGGGGCCCGCACAAGCAGCGGAGCAUGUGGUUUAACUCGACGCAACGCGAAGAACCUUACCAGGUCUUGACAUCCAGUUAAAGCUGUUGAAAGAUAGUGUCCCUUCGGGGGAACUGAGACAGUGGUGCAUGGUUGUCGUCAGCUCGUGUCGUGA